rnacentral:tRNA from 1 species
GGAUCCUUAGCUCAAUUGGUAGAGCGCCGCACUCAUAAUGCGUGGGUUUCCAGUUCAAAUCUGGGAGGAUCCACCA